AUUGAACGCUGGCGGCAUGCCUUACACAUGCAAGUCGAACGGCAGCACGGGGGCAACCCUGGUGGCGAGUGGCGGACGGGUGAGUAAUGCAUCGGAACGUGCCCUGAAGUGGGGGAUAACGCAGCGAAAGCUACGCUAAUACCGCAUAUUCUGUGAGCAGGAAAGCAGGGGAUCGCAAGACCUUGCGCUUUGGGAGCGGCCGAUGUCGGAUUAGCUAGUUGGUGGGGUAAAGGCCUACCAAGGCGACGAUCCGUAGCGGGUCUGAGAGGAUGAUCCGCCACACUGGGACUGAGACACGGCCCAGACUCCUACGGGAGGCAGCAGUGGGGAAUUUUGGACAAUGGGCGAAAGGCCUGAUCCAGCCAUGCCGCGUGAGUGAAGAAGGCC
rnacentral:rRNA from 1 species